UUCCGGUUGAUCCUGCCGGACCUGACUGCUAUCGGAUUGAUACUAAGCCAUGCUAGUCUUUGUAGUAAUACAAGGCAUACGGCUCAGUAACGCGUAGUCAACCUACCCUAUGGACGGGGAUAAUCUCGGGAAACUGAGCAUAAUUCUUGAUAGAUCAUAAUGCCUGGAAUGGUUUAUGGUUAAAAUGAUUCGUCGCCAUAGGAUGGGACUGCGGCCUAUCAGCUUGUUGGUGAGGUAAUGGCCCACCAAGGCGAUUACAGGUACGGGCUCUGAGAGGAGAAGCCCGGAGAUGGGUACUGAGACAAGGACCCAGGCCCUAUGGGGCGCAGCAGGCGAGAAAACUUUGCAAUGUGCGAAAGCACGACAAGGUUAGUCCGAGUGAUUUCUGCUAAAGAGAUCUUUUGCAAGUCAUAAAACCACUAGUGAAUAAGGGGUGGGCAAGUUCUGGUGUCAGCCGCCGCGGUAAAACCAGCACCUCAAGUGGUCAGGAGGAUUAUUGGGCCUAAAGCAUCCGUAGCCGGCUCUGUAAGUUUUCGGUUAAAUCCAUGCGCUCAACGCAUGGGCUGCCGAAAAUACUGCAUAGCUAGGGAGUGGGAGAGGUAGACGGUACUCGGUAGGAAGGGGUAAAAUCCUUUGAUCUAUCGAUGACCACCUGUGGCGAAGGCGGUCUACCAGAACACGUUCGACGGUGAGGGAUGAAAGCUGGGGGAGCAAACCGGAUUAGAUACCCGGGUAGUCCCAGCUGUAAACGAUGCAGACUCGAUGAUGCAUUGGCAUAUAGCCAGUGCAGUGUCGCAGGGAAGCCGUUAAGUCUGCCGCCUGGGAAGUACGUACGCAAGUAUGAAACUUAAAGGAAUUGGCGGGGGAGCACCACAAGGGGUGAAGCCUGCGGUUCAAUUGGAUUCAACGCCGGG
rnacentral:rRNA from 1 species